AACGAACCCUGUCGGCAUGCCUAACACAUGCAAGUCGAACGAGAUCUUCGGGUCUAGUGGCGCACGGGUGCGUAACGCGGGGGAAUCUACCCUUGGGUUCGGUAUAACAGUUGGAAACGACUGCGAAUAACGGAUGUUGACGAAAGUCCAAAGAUUUAUCGCCAGAGGAUGAGCCCGCGUAGGAUUAGCUAGUUGGUGUGGUAAAGGCGCACCAAGGCGACGAUCCUUAGCUGGUCUGAGAGGAUGAUCGGCCACACUGGGACUGAGACACGGCCCAGACUCCUACGGGAGGCAGCAGUGGGGAAUAUUGGACAAUGGGCAAAAGCCUGAUCCAGCAAUGCCGCGUGAGUGGUGAAGGCCUUAGGGUUGUAAAGCUCUUUUACCCGGGAUGAUAAUGACAGUACCGGGAGAAUAAGCUCCGGCUAACUCCGUGCCAGCCGCCGCGGUAA
rnacentral:rRNA from 1 species